GAGUAUCGAUCACAGAAUGCAAGGAUUUCAGACAAGUAUCUGGAGCUGCAGGUAAAAUUUAGUUCGUAGUUUCUCUCUCUCUAAAUUUCUCUCUUGGGUCAAAGUCUGCUUCCAUUGCAGGAUCAGUGACCAAGAUUGGACAGGCUUCCAUGAAUCAAAACUUAAUGGUGGUUGCCACCAAGUUCUGUUCACUUCUUUUUGACCUAUAUCCAAGAGUUCUUUGCUAAAGCGAGCUUUGAAGAUUGCCGUCCCCAAGUCCCGUUUCGAACUAUUUUAUUCGAGUCUUUAUGAAUCAAGCCUUAAUGGUUUUAGCCACCAAGUCGUGUUCAGACUCAUCCUAAAUAAACAAUAGAUCUUUUUUUUUUUUUUUUUUUUUUUGAAUACUCACUAACUAAUCUAGGGUCGAAAUUUAGAGAGAGAAAAUGUGAUAAAUAAUCUAAACCAGGCUUAACCUUCCAGACUUGUCUGAAAAAUCCGAUCCCAUGUAUACCAAGCCCCAAAACAAGCAGUGAAGUCAGGUUAGUGUUGGAGGUUAGCUUCGGUUCUUUCUAACAAGCUAGCAAGUGUGUAUAGUUGACUGGUUGAUCCACUUUAGCAUCUAUAGUAUUAUCUGCAGUCAGUAAAUCUAGAAUGGUGCUAGAAAGUGGUUAGACAUUCAAGUAGAAAUCAUUAGUUCAUAAUCCCCUUCUUGACUCAAUAAAAUUAUUUUUGAAAAGAUUUUUGACAAAAACUCAAGAAAGUGGUGUUAGUAAGUACCUCCCCCAGACUUAAAUUGCACCGACUCGGUGCAAAGUGUCCAAGGGUAGGUUAAAAUCAAGUUAGAUGUUUGAGAAUGUUAGAGUGAGAAUGAAG
rnacentral:lncRNA from 1 species